rnacentral:rRNA from 1 species
CUCAGUUCGGAUCGAAGUCUGNAACCCGACUUCGUGAAGCUGGAUUCGCUAGUAAUCGCGCAUCAGCCAUGUCGCGGUGAAUACGUUCCCGGGCCUUGUACACACCGCCCGUCACACCAUGGGAGUUGGAAGCGCCCGAAGUCGAUGACCCAACCGGAAGGGGGAGUCGCCGAAGGUGAAGCCAGUGACUGGGGUGAAGUCGUAACAAGGUAUC